rnacentral:lncRNA from 1 species
GCUGCAGCGGGCGCUGACGGAGGACGAGUUCGAGGCCUUCAAGUUCCUGCUGGGGGGGCAGCUGCCGCUCAGCCGCCUGCACCCCGCCACCCGCCCCGAGCUCUGCGCCCUGCUCCUGCAGCACUUCCCCGGCCGCGCGCUGCUCGUGGCCGCCGCCGUCCUCCGGCAGCUCGGCCGCCACGACCUCCUGCGGCAGUACCGGCUCCCCGAGGAGGACGAGGCCCCCGGCGGCCUCGGCGAGGCCGGCGGCGGAGCUCAGGGUGCUGGAGGGGCUGGAGGGGCGCAGGGUGCUGGAGAUGCUCGGGGUGCUGGAGGUGCUCCGGACGCUGGAGGUGUUCAGGAUGCUGGAGGCACGCGGGACGCUGGAGGCCGCCCCCCAAGGCUGCUGACGGAGCGGGACCUGCUGCUGGUGGCGCAGAAGCUGGGCAGCGAGUGGCAGGAGGUCGGCAUCGCCUGCCUGGGGCUGCCGCAGAGCCGCCUGGAGCAGAUCGGCGAGGAGCGGCCGCAGCGCGCGGUGCUGCGCGCCUUCGAGAUGCUGCGCGAGUGGCGCCGGCGGCAACAGGGGGGGGGCCCCGGCCCCCCCCGGCUGCUGUCCCGGCGGCGCGGCCCCCCCGGGGACCCCGGGGUGCGGGGGCUCCUGCGGGCUAGGUGGGGGGGGGGGGCCGCGGGCGGGGGGGGCUGGUCGCGCUCGGGGAUGUUUUAUGCUGGGACCGGCGGAAUAAACGUGUUUGUUCUGCGGUCAAAUGGGUGCGUUCCAGGGCAAAACGGGUUUAUUCCAUGGUAAAACGGGUCUGAUCUGUGGAAAAACGGGUCUGUUCCGUGGUAAAAGUGGAUUUAUUCCAGGGUAAAAAGGGAUUUAUUUCAGGAUAAAAACUGAUUUAUUCCAGGGUGAACCUGGGUUUAUCCCAGGGUUCAUUCCAGGACAAAAAGUGAUUUAUUCCAGGGUUUAUUCCACCCGUCCCUGCAGCAUGGCGGAGGCCGGUCCGGCCUUCACUGGGCUACAAGCAGGGGGAGCCCCCCCAUGCCCUUGGCCCCCAAAUGUUCCCCCCGGGAGGGGGGCCCUAGAGGUCAUGCCCCAGCCUCUCGAUCUCGUCCAGGAAGAAGUCGAGGUCGGCCCUGGUGACGGCGGGGCUGGUGGCGAUCUGCCGGAAGAAGUUGACCCUGGCGCCGUGGGGCUGGUAGCUCACCAUCAUGGAGCCCUCCCUCAUCAUCCUCUCCU